rnacentral:misc_RNA from 1 species
CCGACGACGGCGGCUCUGGUCGUGCAUGCGGCGGCGCCGGCGCACCGCCACCAACACGUCGUCGGAAAUGGAGCUGCUCAUCAACUGCAAAUGGCCAGAGGGUAUUUGACUCCGUAUUACCUCGCCCAGCAUUACUAUGCCAAUGAUCCUUUGACCAGCAGGCUGUUUACGACGAACGGCGGCGGUCACCCUUCGUCCCAUCACAACCAUACUCGUCAGGACGAUCAGAUCCAGAGCGCUGUCACUAUACAGGCUGCCUCGUCUGAGAGCUCAUCAUCGGUGAGCCAGUGGCAGCAGGGUCACCGGCGAGCGCGUGCCAAGCCCAAGCCUGGCCAGACGACGGCGCCGCCCCAGGUCGCAUUCGUGGACCUCGGAGACUCGGAC